rnacentral:rRNA from 1 species
AGAAUCAACGCUGGCGGCGUGCCUCAGACAUGCAAGUCGAACGCGAAAGUUCCCUUCGGGGGGCGAGUAGAGUGGCGCACGGGUGAGUAACACGUAGGUAAUCUACCUUCGGAUGGGGAAUAACAACCGGAAACGGUUGCUAAUACCGCAUAAUGCAGCGGCACCUAAUGGUGACAGUUGUUAAAGCGGGGGAUCGAAAGACCUCGCGUCUGAAGAGGAGCCUGCGGCGGAUUAGCUAGUUGGUAGGUAACGGCCUACCAAGGCUACGAUCCGUA